rnacentral:rRNA from 1 species
AGUGGAUGGGGAGCAACCUAGUUGUGCGUGUGUAAAGGUAGUGCCAAGAAAAGCGAUGAUCAUGUUGAAAAUCAAUUCCCGGUACCCGAAACCGACACAGGUGGGCAAGUAGAGAAUACUAAGGGGCGCGAGGUAACUCUCUCCAGGGAACUCGGCAAAAUGACCCCGUAACUUAGGGAGAAGGGGUGCCACCGAGAGGUGGUCGCAGUGAAGAGGCCCAGGCGACUGUUUAGCAAAAACAUAGGUCUCUGCAAACUCGAAAGAGGAGGUAUAGGGGCUGACGCCUGCCCAGUGCCGGAAGGUUAAAGAAGUUGGUCAGUUUUAGGAUGAAGCUAGCGACUGAAGCCCCGGUGAACGGCGGCCGUAACUAUAACGGUCCUAAGGUAGCGAAAUUCCUUGUCGGGUAAGUUCCGACCCACACGAAAGGCGUAACGAUCUGGGCGCUGCCUCGGAGAGAGGCUCGGCGAAAUAGGAUUGUCUGUGAAGAUACGGACUACCUGCAUUUGGACAGAAAGACCCUAUGAAGCUUUACUAUAGCUUGGAAUUGUGUUCGGGCUUCCUGUGCGCAGGAUAGGUGGGAGGCGUAGAAGGUAUUCUUGUGGGGAUACUGGAGCCAACGGUGAGAUACCACUCUCAGGAGGCUAGAAUUCUAACUUAAUUAAGGACAGUUUCAGGUGGGUAGUUUGACUGGGGCGGUCGCCUCCAAAAAGGUAACGGAGGCGUACAAAGGUUCCCUCAGACUGGUUGGAAAUCAGUCGAAGAGUGCAAAGGCAGAAGGGAGCUUGACUGCGAGAAGUACAGUUCGAGCAGGGUGGAAACACGGUCUUAGUGAUCCGACGGUGCUGUGUGGAAGGGCCGUCGCUCAACGGAUAAAAGUUACUCUAGGAUAACAGGCUGAUCUCACCCAAGAGUUCACAUCGACGGGGAGGUUUGGCACCUCGAUGUCGGCUCAUCGCAACCUGGGGCGGAAGUACGUCCCAAGGGUUGGGCUGUUCGCCCAUUAAAGCGGUACGUGAGCUGGGUUCAGAACGUCGUGAGACAGUUCGGUCCAUAUCCGAUGUAGGCGUGAGAAUAUUGAGAGGAGCCUUCCUUAGUACGAGAGGACCGGGAAGGACGCACCGCUGGUGUACCUGUUAUGAUGCCAAUUGUAAACGCAGGGUAGCCAAGUGCGGAGAGGAUAACCGCUGAAAGCAUCUAAGUGGGAAGCCCACCUCAAGAUGAGUAUUCUGGUGUAAGGUCACGGGAAGACGACCCGUAAAUAGGCACGAGGUGGAAGUGCAGAGAUGUAUGAAGCCGAAGUGUACUAAUAGACCGUCGGCUUGAUA